CUAGAUCACAUACGAUCACCGAUGGUAAGCAACUUCGAGCCUGGUUAGUACCUAGAUGGGUGACUGCUUGUGAAUACUACGUGUUGUAA